ACUGAAAUAGUUUAUAGCCAAUGUUUGGGCCCAUAUUCCUGGGAAAACAAUCAAAGCUUCAGGUACAUUUGGUCACCUGAUGGGCCAUUUAAACAUUUUAUAAAGGGAUUUUAUUCAAUUAUUAUUUUCAAUGCAUGUUUUCUGGUUAUAUAAAAGCUCUCCCAUGCAAGAGGGCUCAUGUUAUAAAACUAAGUCAUUACACCACAGUGUAUUUUCACCAGGUACAGAAAACUUUUUAUGGUUUGCUGAGGACAAUCAACCCCUUCACAAAUCUAGAGCCUAAAGAUUAGAUCUUCUGAGAACAUUGGAGAAAGAUUGUCCUUGCCAUCCACAGUGCAGCAAAACUUUGGAACCCUGAACUUUGGGUUCAUAAUCUCACAACUGAGGAGGGUCCCUCCACACUCUUGGAACUGUACACCCAUAGGAACCCUUAAGGUAAAGCUAACCAAGGAAGUCGCUCCCCAGAAGAACAUGGCAUCCUUGAUGUGAACAGCUUUUCCCAAGACCACAGAUCAAGACUUCUACUAUUAUGAGACUCUUAUCUUUGAAUAUUUUUUGCUUAUGCCUCCAAGAACAAUAGAAAUGAAAAGGGGGUCUGUUGUAUGCACUUAUGGGGUACACUUUUAUUUGUGAAGGAUUUUGCAGCCAGCCUCAUAUGAAUAAACUUAUACUUCGACAGAUAAAAGAUGAAGGUCCAAUGCAGGUUUUAAAUGGUUGCACGCAGCCAUUUCUAGAAUGUCAAAUGGUUUCUCUUCAACUGGAAUGACAAGGGCUGAAAGAAAUGUGUGAACAUGAGGACACCAUAACCUAUGAAUCAUGCACUGAGACCAGAAACCCAAAAUGAAGAAACCAUCAAGCUUCGGAUGAUCAUGCAACAAAGGUUCCAGCCACUUCCAGACACCACUCCUGGCCAUCAAGGAGCUACCUUGCCUCCACCAGACAGAGUGGGGCGAGAGUUCCGUGAUUCCCAACAGG